rfam:Triticum aestivum genome assembly, contig: Triticum_aestivum_CS42_TGACv1_scaffold_129507_2BL
UUACUACUCCCUCCGUCCGGAAAUACUUGUUAUUAAAAUGGAUAAAAUGAGAUGUAUCUAGAUGUAUUUUAGUUCUAGAUACAUAUCUUUUUAUGCAUUUUGACGACAGUAUUCUCAGACGGAGGAAGUACCAC